AUUGAACGCUGGCGGCAGGCUUAACACAUGCAAGUCGAGCGGAGAUGAGGUGCUUGCACCUUAUCUUAGCGGCGGACGGGUGAGUAAUGCUUAGGAAUCUGCCUAUUAGUGGGGGACAACAUUCCGAAAGGAAUGCUAAUACCGCAUACGCCCUACGGGGGAAAGCAGGGGAUCUUCGGACCUUGCGCUAAUAGAUGAGUCUAAGUCGGAUUAGCUAGUUGGUGGGGUAAAGGCCUACCAAGGCGACGAUCUGUAGCGGGUCUGAGAGGAUGAUCCGCCACACUGUGGCUGAGGCACGGCCCAGACUCCUACGGGAGGCAGCAGUCGCGAAUAUUGUACAAUGGGCGGAAUCAUGAUCCAGCCAUGCCGCGUGUGUGAAGAAAGCCUUGUGGUUGUAAAUCACUUUAAGCGAGGAGGAGGCUACCUGGAUUGAUACUCUAGGAUAGUGGACGUUCCUCGCAGAAUAAGCACCGGCUAACUCUGUGCCAGCAGCCGCAGUAAGAC
rnacentral:rRNA from 1 species